GACGAACGCUGGCGGCGUGCUUAACACAUGCAAGUCGAACGGAAAGGCCCUGCUUUUGUGGGGUGCUCGAGUGGCGAACGGGUGAGUAACACGUGAGUAACCUGCCCUUGACUUUGGGAUAACUUCAGGAAACUGGGGCUAAUACCGGAUAGGAGCUCCUGCUGCAUGGUGGGGGUUGGAAAGUUUCGGCGGUUGGGGAUGGACUCGCGGCUUAUCAGCUUGUUGGUGGGGUAGUGGCUUACCAAGGCUUUGACGGGUAGCCGGCCUGAGAGGGUGACCGGCCACAUUGGGACUGAGAUACGGCCAAGACUCCUACGGGAGGCAGCAGUGGGGAAUAUUGCACAAUGGGCGGAAGCAGGAUGCAGCAACGCCGCGUGCGGGAUGACGGCCUUCGGGUUGUAAACCGCUUUCGCCUGUGACGAAGCGUGAGUGACGGUAAUGGGUAAAGAAGCACCGGCUAACUACGUG
rnacentral:rRNA from 1 species